AGGAAGAGGAAGGGGAAGAGGGGGAGGCACACAUCAUUUCCCUCACCAAACCACUCUCUCACACCUCGGCACUUUCCAGGUAUCUGGAGGAGUACAAGUUGAAGGAACGGCGCGCUGAUGGAACCAUUGUAGCCGUGCCUUGCUCCAUGCCAGACACCACCAACACCACCACAGGGAAGAAGAAGAAAAAGAAAAGUGUGGUGUGUGUGUCUCAGGCUGGGAAGGUAGACAGCACAUUACCACACCAGGAGGAAUCACUCAAUGGCCUUCAGAAUGGUGGUGUUGGUGAGGGUUUAAGUACAAAGAGAAGAAGAGGUGAGGUGUGUGUGUCUCAGGCUGGGGAGGAAGAGGAAGGAACUGUACAGGAGAAGCAGGAGGAAGCGAUUAAUGGCCUCACAAAUGGUGGUUCUGGCUCAAAUACUGACAUGAUUAAACAUAGGAAGCAAACCCGAAGGAGAGGGAAGAAGAAGAAGUUGAAGGGAGGCAAUGAAGUGGCUGUACCUUAGAGGAAAAACAGGGAUGGAUAGAACAUGAAAGCACUAGUUACCCCUCACAAUGGCAGCGUUGGCUCAAGUACUGACAUUAGGAAACAUAGGAAGCAAAUCUGAAGGAGAAGGAAGAAGAAGAAGAUGAAGGGAGGCAAUGAAGUGGCUGUACCUUAGAGGAAGAACACGGACAGAUAGAACAUGAAAAAGCACUAGUUACCCCUCACAGUGGCAGCGUUGGCUUAAGUACCGACAUGAGGAAACAGAGGAAGCAAACCCGAAAGAAAGGAAAGAAGUUGAAGGGAGGCGAUGAAGUGGCCGUACCUUAGAGGAAGAACAAGGAUGGAUAGAACAUGAAGGAAGAAGAAAGCACUAGUUACCCCUCACGAUGACAGCACUAGUGAAAGGAAGAGAUAGAAAGUGAAACAGAGGGAGUUGUGUGGCUUGUGUGUGUUAAAAUUAAGAAGGAAGACACUGCAGGGUUUGAACAAGGAGAAACACUUACCUCACAAUGACAGGACUAGUGAAAGGAAGAGAAAGAAGAAGAAAAAGGAAGUUGUGUGGCUUGUGUGUGUUGAACUUAAGAAGGAAGACACUGCAGGGUUUGAACAAGGAGAAACACUUACUUGGCAGUGACUGAAUGGUUGGCGCCUGGAUGCCAUGAACCUAAGGACCCAGGUUCGAAUCCCGCCGCAAGACACUGACAAUUCUCAACCAUAGGCGAGUGGUGGAAGGUUACCCACAUGCUGCCCAGGUCUUCAAUCAACCGUAAUUUCAGCGACUUUGGUCAGGAGGAGCACCGGGGCAGCAUAGGCCAAGCAAGAGCCAUACAUCACAGCAGCCACUGUAAAUUAAAUUCACCUGUGCCAUGAACGGACUGGGGUCUUCCAAGAGGCCCCUUGAGAGAGCCUACUGGUGCUAUAGGCGGAGGAGAAGGAAGAGGAAAAACGAAAAGAGGGAGAAUUUUGUGGUAUUGGUGAAGGAGAAGGAGGAAGAGGAAGAAAGGAAAAAAAAAUGCAGCUACAAGGGAAGAGAAAACACAGAAAAAGAGACAUAUGAAGAGACUGAAGGAAAGGGAAUGGACAGUUACAACAAGAAGAAGCACUUACUAGCCCUCAGAAUGGUGGCACCUGUGAAGGAGAAGAAGGAAGAGGAAAAAUGAAAGAGAAAGAAA